GUCCAAUCGCGCUAUUUCCGUCCAGACAGAAGAGCAGUAGAGUUCACACAGCGUAACAAACAAGAUAGUCUGCUCUGUAGCAGACACUGAUGGAUCCCCACUGGCGGUCCUUAAACGAGCGUAAUAUCAGGAAGAGAUGAAUCAUCUCAUUUCUUCAGCGCUCAAACGAAGCACGUCUGCUUGCCACCCCAGCAGCACUAACUCAUCCAGACACAAACAACACGGCUUGAGGGACGGAAAGGGUGACGAGAUGCUCUCCGCCAGGAGCUGAUGGCGCGGCAAAAGGUUCAGGGAAGGGAAGAGCUUUGGAUGCUUCGUUCAGUGUAUCUCCCAUCUCUUUGUUCGCUAAUCCUGCCCUAAAGCGCUGCAGCCCCUCUAAUUGUGAGCAGAUUUUCUAAAAGGACCGUAGCAUCAGUAGUGGUUGUGUUUCACACUUCAGUCUAAUCCUGUUUGGGAGGUUUUGUUGCAGCACAUCAAUGGGUAAUGACAAGGUUUAAUCGCCAUAAAGCUGCCA